rnacentral:rRNA from 1 species
GGAAAUUCUUUUAUAUAUAAUUAGUGUUUAGUUAUAUAUAAAUUUUCUAGGGUAGAAUUUUAUAUAAUAUUUUUUAUCUAUUUAUAAUUUUUUGAAUUACUCCGGAGUUAACAGAAAAUCAUAUCUGAUCUAGUUCUUAUAGUAAGAUAAGUUUUACAUCGAUGUUGUAUUUAAGUUUUUUAAAAAAGGAGAAGAUUUAAUUUUUAAGACUGUUCUUCUUUUAUUUAACUUAACGU